AUGUUUUCAUAAAAACUCCUGCUAUUUACUGAUAAAUCAAUUAUGAGCAGUAAGUCACAUCUGAGAACCAAGCAUAGACCAGAAACCUUAAAGAGCCUCAUGCAGUUUCCUGUUCUUUUCAGGGGAGAUCAUAAGAUCUCUGUGGUUUGCAGACAUAGACUGUUGAAAGAUUUCCAGCCAAAUUCUUGCUGGCAUUCAGUUUUUCCAACACAAGUCCAUAGUUUAGUGAAAGGUCUUUCUUUUUAGGCUUAAAAGCUUAACAAAUAGGUGUAAAAUCAUUAGCUUUGAUGAAGGUCUGGAGGGCUGCAUGAGUUAUCACAUGCUUGUCUUUCUGUAGUAGUUUGAAUUGUAAAAUGACAUUUAAUCAGGACUGAAGUGAUGAUUGUUUCAGACUCUACAGAAAAGGUGACCAACGGUGAGAUGAGUCCUGAAGAAAAGAAGGAAGAGAUGGAGCAGGAGAAGCUUCUGGAAGACUCCGCAGCAGGAGAAAACCACAGUGGUCCAAAGGCUCAAGAAGAAUCCACCUGAGCAUCCUGCUCACCUGCAGAGACUGGCUGAACACAGAACAGAGCAGAAUUCAAACCUAAAGUGACUCAAAUUUCACUGUUUUUGUUGCUGUUUGUCAACGGUUUACAAUAAAAUACCCCUAGAAGCAAAAAGAGUGCAAAUUCAAUAAUUAAUCUCAAUAUAUUGCUGAGAAGGGUUAAAUUAAUGGAGGUCAUAGUUUAAAAUGUGCUUUUGUGAACAAUUUUUUUAAACCUGGCAAUGAAGAGAUGGCAGACGGCACACUUCUGUGUGAGGACUCUGUGUUUGUGUGUGAGCAGAGGCUACAGCUUCUUAUCUAAGCAGACAUAUCUGUUGACCAGCCUGCAAUGAGUGGAGAAGGAGGGUUAUUGUAUUAGAUGUUCUUUUUUCACUGAAUUUAGGAGGAUAUCCGUUAUUCCAGGAGCUCCUUUCAGUUGUGGUUAAGAGUUUAUGGCAGCAUUUGGGCUUUUACGCACUCAUUGAUGCAAACACGCCACCACUGAAUAAAAACCCAGUGAGACCAAUUCAAUCUGCUGUGUCAAAAGUCCAAAGAUUACUGACGUAAUUCGAACUGCAAUUCAAGAGAUUUUUCUAAACUAAAUUGAGCUGAAAUAAAAAAAAAA